CCUGAAGUUCACCAUCAUGGUUCCACAAGCACACAUAAAACCACACAAAGCAUGAAGAUUUAUUAAAACGCUUCUCUGAAAAAGCACUUCUCAUCAUAAGUGCUUUUGCUGGAAGUAUUUUUACUUUAGUAGAAGUAAAUCCACCACAAAGUUUCAUUAAAAAUUCAAGUGCUUCAGAAAAAAAACAUUUGAACAUUUUUUCUGAAAGUGCUUUUAGUCAUUCUCAAAUGAAGAAACGCCCAAUCACAGAAACAACACACAAAAUUGGGUUCUUGGAGACAACUGAUUGAACCCAAAUCCGAAAUCAGCAAAUAAGCACAAAAGCAUAUGAAUUUUAAGUAUAACACUACAAAAUUUAAAGCAUCCACCAAAUAGAAGAGUGAUAUAAUUGAGGAAAAUUUAAGAGAGUAGCUCUCACAUGUCUUUAACAGCAAAGGUGAGGCCGCUCAGAGGAAGGUCAUGUGAUGAAGACGGCGGUCGGAGAAGGAAUUUCUCCACGAAAGCUCCAUGAUCUGAGUCUAUCGCCAUCUCUCUCUGCCACUGCUGUCUCAGACAAUCUCAGCCUCAGCAGCAGCUCCACAUUUGACGACAGAAGUGAAAAGCUCUCCACUCAUCAAUCAUACGAUGAUCGUAUUCAAAUGCAAGGACAAAUAUUAUUCCUUAAAAAAAUAUGUUGUUGAUAAGGUGGUAACUUCAGUCAGUGAGGGCAAAGUGGAAAUUCUGGAGGUAGCUUAAGUCCUCACUAUGGUCCUUAGACUUUGAGAAUUGAUACAAAUGGUCUUUAAAUUUCUCCACCGUAAAUUAUUUUGCUCUAAAAAAUUUGUCAAUAUCAUCGUUGAGUGGUUGGGUUGAUUAGACAAAAUAUCAAAGAAAGACAAUUCAAGGACCGCUUCUAUCGGUUUUCAUUAUCAUGAUCAAAGUGAGGGGUUUUGCCAAAGUCAUGAACUAUUUUGACUAAAACCCUAAAAAAAAAAGGGAAUUGUUAUUGGCUCUCCAAAAAUCUCAUUCUAUACUCCAACUUUCUAUAUUUGGAAAGAAAACUACACUUCUGAUGAGUGUAGAAUAAGAUUCUUGGAGUGUUAAUAACACUUCCCAAAAAAUAAAACAUAUUCUAUGAAAAUAUUGUGAAUUUCUUAGCUUAUGGAUCCAACGCAAGUACACAAUGUAUUAGGGUUUUUAUCACAAAUGAUCCCUGAGAUUGAUCAAACUCAUUAUUUUGAUCCCUCACUUUCAAAAUCAAUCAAUGUCGUCUCUAACCUUCACUACCAAAUAUCAAUUGGGUCAUUCCGUUAAGAUUUUGUUAACUAUUCUGUUAGUUUAUAUGCGGGGCCCACAAUUUCAAUGAAAUUGUGACAUGUAGAUUACACAAAAUAAGGAUUUUUAUCGCAAAUGGUCCCUAACAUUGAUCUAACUCCUCAUUUUGGUAUCUGAGUUUCAAAAAUUAAUAAAUUUGGUCAUUGACUUUCAAUACCGCAUGUUAAUUUAAUCAUUCCGUUAAAGUUUCGUCAAUAUUCUUUUUCCCACUAAUUCAAUCAUAUGACGUCACGUGAAUUAACUAUAAGAAAUUUUUUUUUAAAGAUUUAAAACUAAAAGUAAAAUAAGAGACUAAAAACCAAUACUAAAAGAAAGAAAAAAGUCAUCGUCAUCUUCAUCAGGUAUGCUAAAAAAGAAAAUAAAGGCACCAUGACACUAUUAAAGUUCUUGGCCUCCUAAACUUACUCUUCAUUAUCUCCAGUUGGUUAUAAUCCUAUCAACUUUAAAUUGAAUUUGGAUUCGAUUUUAUCAAAUUUAGAUUGAAUUUUUUUCAAUUGGGGUUGUGGGAUGUGAGAAAUAUCAACGCAGAAUACUCGUAUGUUGGUUCAAUCUUAAAAAAAAAAAAAAAUUCUUAUAGUUAAUCCACGUGGAGCCAUAUUGAUGAAAUUUUAAUGAAAUGACUAAAUUGAUGUGCGAUAGUGAAAGUCAGGGAUCAAAUUCAUAAAUUUUUGAAACUUAGGGACCAAAAUGAGGGGUUGGACCAAUGUCAGUGACCAUUUGCGAUAAAAACUUUAAUUUUGUGUAAUCCACAUGUCACUAUUUCACUAGAUUUGUGGGUUCCACUUACAAACUAACAUAAUAGUUGACGGAAUUUUAACGGAAUGACCAAAUUGAUGUGGGGUAGUGAAUAUCAUGGACGACAUUAAUUGAUUUUGAAAGUAAGUCUCACUUACAAACUAACAGAAUAGUUGAAGGAAUCUUAACGGAAUGACCAAAUUGAUGUAGGGUAGUGAAUGUCAUGGACGACAUUAAUUGAUUUUGAAAGUAAGCGACCAAAAUGAUGAAUUUGAUCAAUUUUAUGGACCAUUUGUGAUAAAAACUCCAUUGUAUUAUCAAUGGAAACAAAAUUUCAAGUGGCAGUUCCAUACAUAUGCAGGCGAACUUUCAUUCGCUGCGGUCGUAAUAAAAAAAUAUGUACAAAUAAGGGAUCACAGGUCUGUGCUCGGCGAGUUCCACCUCUGCUGGCUUUGUAGUUACUCCCGGAGCACUCCAACCUAAGCGUUGCAUGCACACAGCAUCGUAUGCUUCAAUUUUCAAACCCGAAGCAAGAAAUAGUUCCACCUCGUUUACAAACCGAUUGGUUCUUGCUGCCAGGAAAGGCCCUGCUGCAUCACAGGUUGAUUCUUGAAAUUCUCUUUGUUUUUCUUCAGGUGCCGUCGUUCGACCUUUUUGUUCAUCCCUUGAAAAUGCAUGGUUCAGGUAAAAGUUCAGACAAAGAGUUCAUUGAAAUUUUGCACGUUUUCAAGCACUUCAAUGUUGUUCUUUCUCAUAUCUUGUCCAAAAGAACUCUAAAGACGGGAACUAACUUUGGAACGUUAUUCGAUUUUUCAAUUGAAGAUCUAGGGAGUAACACAUAUCACCUCGUCAGGGAUGAAUUAAUCACGCCAUGUAUGUGGUGCAUGACGAUGUCAACAUCUUCCUCCUACAAGCAGCAACAGAAGCAAGUUAGCUAUAAAGAGUCACCCGAAUAACUAUAACAUGCAUGUUCUGCUUUGGUCGUCAUAGAUAAAGAAAGACCACACGCACAAUUUUAUGAUUAGCUAAUUGGACUAGGUGAUCCAGUUCAUUGCCAAGCCAAAGAAACAAAAAUGAAACUCUGUAAGAUGUUGAAAUGUCCCCGUGUCACCACGAAAGAAAAUUUAUGCAGAAGAAGCCAAGACCUGCAUCAGAGCUUGGAUUUCCCUUCUCCACCAACUUUGGAGCCAGCGGUUUGGCUGAAGAUACUUGCUGGACUUCCGAUACCGUGGUAUGUCAAAUAUGUCACUUAAGAAAACUAAUUAAGAAACAAAGUUAACCAACUGGAAGGCAUGUAAACAGUGACGUCGUUUCUCAGGGAUAUAAAAUGAGAAACAACACAACCAAUAAAAUGACAAGAAGCACAAAACCUGGUUCAGUGUAAUAACACUGCAAUCUAUGCUUGUGCUCCUUUGAUAAGAAAAAGCUGCAGAUACCAUUAACAAAAAACGAUUUACAAAGAGGGUUACAUAUUUUCGAAAACGAUUUACAAAACUUUAUUUUUCAGGCCUAUCCACCCUUGUUUUUCUCCCCUCCAGGAAUUUUAGUGGCAGAGGUUUUGUGACGACGAGGAUUGUUGGUAAAAGCUGUUAUGUAGGAGACUUCUCCUUUCAGUAUAAAUGUCAUUACUCUUCUUUUAUUGUAAUUUAUUUAUGCUCUGACAUCAUUUGUGUGAAAUGGGUUCAAUCCCGCUCAUAUGCGCAGUCUAAAUUAGUUACUUUUAGGUUUUAAUUUAUUCACAAUUUUCACUUCACUACAUUUUAUGGCUUCGUCACCUCUGAGUGUCGGCUAGUACAUCACGAUUUGGGUGUCUGCGUGGACAUUCCGAGUCGGAAUGUGUCAAAAAUGUACCAUAUAAAGGCUACCAAUUUUUUGUAUGUAAAAUAUCAUUAAUAUAAGUAAUGACAAAUCAUGGGUUUUAUUUAAAUAGUUUAUUUUAAUGACAAAUCAUGUCAUUAAGAUAAAUUAUACUUUUUUAUAUAAGUAUAAUUUAUUUUUUUAUAUUUUCAAUCCCACAAAUCAUGAAUUUUAUCUAAAAUCUCAUUAAUACAAGUAACUAAAAAUAUCAAAAUAUCAAAUUUUAAUUUGAAAUUAUAAUAACCUACAUAGAAAUUUAUUAUUGUAUUAAUUUCAGGAACUUCAAUAAAAAACUGAAAACCAACAAGGUUUCAAUUGGAUUAAAAUUGAGGGACCAUUGAUACAAUUUUUCUUAUUUGAUUUUUCAUAUUUGCCCCUUAAUUUGGCCUCAUGUGCAUAGCAUGUGACUUAUUUUGGCAUAAGUUCUAAUGUAGUUGACAAAAAAAAAAAAUCAUAUCUGCACGUUUUGAUGAGUUUAGAGACCAAUGUUAAUGAAUUUUUAGUUGAUGGAUCGUUGCUCCUAUUAAGUUAAAGUUGAGAAAUUAUUGCUACAAUUUCCUCUACAAUUAAAGCUAAUAUAUAAGCUUGAUAGCUUGCUCAUGGACCAUACACAAGGAUAAAACGAGGAAAAUUCCUAUCUAUUUUAAACCUUAUGACUGAUUUGGGAUUGUGGUUCUUUUAUAAAAAACAGCUUAUGAAAAAAUCUGGAACAUCAAAUGUAUUUGGUACCAAAAAAAAAAGUGCUUAUUUAAAAAAUUGUUGUCAAUGACAACAGAAAAGUAAAGAAAAGCAGAAGCAGGGUCUACUAUGUUUCUAAAAAUUUCUAAGCAUGGUGAACAGUGAGAAUUUAAUGAAAUUUUCAAAUGGCAACUGCAUAUUUUACAAAAUAACAAUCGUUGUCCGUGCAAUAUUCUCUUUGGCAAUUAUUAUAUCACAUUAAAUGUCAUAUCAUUUUUAGUAUUUAACAAAUUCACAUCAAUUAUAUAUAUAAAAGUUUACAAAACACUCAGAUACUGUUUUAUUUUUUUACAAGCACUUUUACAAUAAAAGUUUAUCAAACGCUCAACAACUUUAUUUUACAACUGUUUAUUCUCAAAAUACUGCAGAAACAAUUUAAAAAAAAAAAAAAACAAAACAUAACAACACCAAACUAGCAGAACUUACAAGCACAUGUAUUAGGAAAAGAUUAUCAGAAUCUGCAACUCAAAAUCUUGUAGUCAACAUUCACAACUUCCCGGCGUGUUCUUUGAGAGUGCCGUAAAGAGUCUCCACAAGAUUGAGCAGGAAUCCAUCCGAGCCAUGCUUUGCCAGCAAGGAAACUGAAACAGGUAGGUUAUCGCACAUCCCUAGUGGUAUACUCACCUGCAAAUACGUAGAAAUAAGUUACUAACUUUCGCAAGAUACUUGCAGUCAAUGACGAAGAAAAAGAUUGUAACAUGUCGUAUACAAACAUGGAAAGGGGGAGGGAGAGGUAGAGAUAGAUAGAGGGCUUAAAAACCUGGCAGAAUCCGGAAACUACGGCAAUGGAUUGGAAGCUGAAAGCCCGGGCACGAAAAGCGUCCAGUAUACUAGGAUCUGUUUGCAGCUUUGGUGGAUCCCCUGGAACUGUAGGCAUUGCGAGGACACCGAAAUCCUGAUGAGUAAUUCAAAGAGAUUGUGUUACGUAUUCAUCAGAGACAGUAUUUCUUCUGCUAAAAGUUUCGUUUUAAGAGCAAAAGGAAGGAAGAUGCUAACAAAUAACAGUUUGUCAGUCUCUCUACUCUAACAAAACGAACUCGUUUGAUAUGAAGUGACGGAUUCCUAAAAUGAACUUUAGCGUGUGCAAAGAUGUGAGAGAGAGAGAGAGAGAGAGUACCCCGAGAAGUUCAGUAAGAGCAGCACGCAAUUCAGUCAUCACGGAGUGACAAACAUCGACAUUUUCAUCUGUUGACCGAACGGCUGCCCAUAUACGUUCUCCUAUCCCGGGACCUAAGUCAGGUCUGACUGUACUAACCCAUUCACCAUGGUUGCUCUUGAAUUCAUACCUAUUCUAUCAACCAAAUAAUAAAUUUGGAAUUCAUUAUGUACGACAAAUUUAAAUUUUGUUAAUCAAGGUGAAGAUGCAGAAAUUAUCACACUCAUAUUCAAGUCCACCAAAUCAGCACCUUGCGAGAAGAUGAAAGGCGGUUGAUAGGGCUGCCAAAGACGGUAUAAUGUACUCUUCACUUGGAUUUCCUUUAUCCAAGAAAGAGUUCAAGCUUGGAACUUUGUCCUUGACAACAUCCCCGAGGUUAGCAUGUUUUAUAACUUGACCUGCAUUUGCAGAUAUAACGAGUGAGCUUCUUCUUUCCAUGUUGUGAGCUUGUCACUAUCUCAGCAGGAGACCCAAUUUAAUUAAUUGAUUAAUUUUCAGUUAAUAAUCUGUCUAUUGAACAUAAUGGCCAAUUUGUGUCUUAAAACGUGGGGGAAUUAUAAAUUGGACUCGAUUCAUGUCAAUCAAAAUACUUACAGCUAGAGAUGAAACAGAUGAAUACGGUCAAAUCACUUACCCCCAAAUAACUUCUCAACUGACUCAACAAGUACUUGUUUCACUCGACUGCUUGGAACACUUGAAAUCUGGAAACAGUCUUCUGCGAUGAUUAACUGAGUGGGUACGACAGGACCCGUAUCAGGCAAUUGGAGUAACACUCGUCCAACUCUAUUCAAAAUCGCAGGAUUCCUUGCAAACCAUCCUAUAUCAGAAGUUAGUGUCAAAAGGAUGGUUUCCGAUUGCUUAGAGUGCUAGAUAGAUCAUUCACAUAGGUAAAGCUUUCGAAGUACUAUAGUUCCAAUUGCAGAAAAACUUAAACACAGAAGUGUCACGAGUAAUAAUCAACAAAGAUGCAGAAUGCACGGAUGGCAUAUGAAUCAUUGAAGCGGAGGAAGUUAGCUACUUUCUAGAAAUAAAGAGAGAUAUUUCCUGUUACAUAAAAUCAAGGGGAAAAAACCGAAAACAUGACCUUUUUUUUGUCACGACCAGAAAUCUAUUUCCUAAGCCAGUCUGCAAUAUAAAAUGUCAUUGAUUUCUCACCCACUGUAUCGAAACUUUGUGCCAGAGGAGUAACUCCAGAAGUAGAAAUGACACCAUGAGAUGGCCGAAACCCAAAAAUUCCACAAUGCGACGCAGGAAUUCUUACACUUCCUCCAGUGUCAGUUCCUGAAAAAGUGAGGGUCUUGUGCUUCAACAUAAAGAAGCAAGAAAACAACAAAAGCACACUAGGAAUAACUUACCUAAGGAAAAAUCUGCGAGGCCUACAGCUACGGCAACAGCAGAACCGCUAGAAGCCUCCAGGCACCCUAUCUGGAGCGCACGGAUUUCUGGGUGUGCCAUAAUGCUUGUUCUCUCCAUUCAUACUGCCAACAACACAGUGCAAAAUUCAAGGGCGUUUUCUGUCGAGUGAUUUUCGAAUGUCCAAAAUCAUUAUAUAAAUACUUUUACCACGAAAAGAGACUUGUAGCGAUCAAUCAUUUGUCAAAAUUUUUGGGAACAAAACAGUAAUGCAAGUUUAAGCAUGUGAAGUAAGACAAGGCCUCUUUGUACUAACCAGUAUGCCAUUUCAUCCAUGACAGUUAUACCAAUACUUGUGGCACCUCCACUCAAUAUUGCUGAAACAGCCGGAGCUGUUGAUUCAGCAGCCGGGUGAGUCCUCGCCCAAUCAGGAUUCCCAAACCCAGUCACACGUCCAGCCACAUCAAAUCUGCCUCCAAGUUCAAAUUUCAGUGAACACAAAAAUGUUUUGGCUUUUACACACACAUGAAAAAAAUUGCACAAUUCAACACCCUGAAGUUCACCAUCAUGGUUCCACAAGCACACAUAAAACCACACAAAGCAUGAAGAUUUAUUAAAACGCUUCUCUGAAAAAGCACUUCUCAUCAUAAGUGCUUUUGCUGGAAGUAUUUUUACUUUAGUAGAAGUAAAUCCACCACAAAGUUUCAUUAAAAAUUCAAGUGCUUCAGAAAAAAAACAUUUGAACUUUUUUUUCUGUAAGUGUUUUUAGUCAUUCUCAAAUGAAGAAACGCCCAAUCACAGAAACAACACACAAAAUUGGGUUCUUGGAGACAACUGAUUGAACCCAAAUCCGAAAUCAGCAAAUAAGCACAAAAGCAUAUGAAUUUUAAGUAUAACACUACAAAAUUUAAAGCAUCCACCAAAUAGAAGAGUGAUAUAAUUGAGGAAAAUUUAAGAGAGUAGCUCUCACAUGUCUUUAACAGCAAAGGUGAGGCCACUCAGAGGAAGGUCAUGUGAUGAAGACGGCGGUCGGAGAAGGAAUUUCUCCACGAAAGCUCCAUGAUCUGAGUCUAUCGCCAUCUCUCUCUGCCACUGCUGUCUCAGAUAAUCUCAGCUUCAGCAGCUGCUCCACAUUUGACGACAGAAGUGAAUAGCUCUCCACUCAUCAAUCAUACGAUGAUCCUAUUCAAAUGCAAGGACAGAUUAUUCCUUAAAAAAAUCUGUUGUUGAUAGGUGGUCACUUCAGUCAGUGAGGGCAAAGUGGAAAUUCUGG
rnacentral:lncRNA from 1 species